rnacentral:misc_RNA from 1 species
GUCUCCAUCAUCAGACUUUAAUGGCACUUGUAACUCAUAUAGGUGCAAAGUUCUCAUCAAUAGAAACGAAUUAAGUUCAAACAGCAGGUAAUUGCUAUAAAUUGUUGAAGAGUUCCCUCGACUAUCUUUCUUCUCCAUCAUCAGAUCGACUCCAGACCUUUAUUAAAUAGUAGUGCUUUAUAGUACUUAAUGAAAACAUGAUUAAAUUUACUAGUCACCCUUACGAUUUUUGAAAGUUUCCCUCGAUUUCUCUGGGAUCCCAUCAUCAGAUCCUGGUUUCCUUAUCAUGGUACCAAACUAUGAAUAUCUCCUUUCCAACAAAA